ACGCUCGACACCUACGGGAGGUAGCAGUGGGGAAUAUUGCACAAUGGGGGAAACCCUGAUGCAGCGACGCCGCGUGAGUGAAGAAGUAAUUCGUUAUGUAAAGCUCUAUCAGCAGGGAAGAAAGUGACGGUACCUGAGUAAGAAGCCCCGGCUAACUACGUGCAGCAGCCGCGGUAAUCUGAGCGGGCUGGCAAGGC
rnacentral:rRNA from 1 species